GAGGAAUCGUACAUAGAGAGAUAUAAAAGAAGAGGAAUCGUACAUAGAGAGGUAUAGAAGAAGAGGAAUCGUACAUAGACAGGUAUAAAAGAAGAGGAAUCGUACAUAGAAGAGGAAUCGUAAAUGGACAGGUAUAAAACAAGAGCAAUAGUACAUAGAAGAGCAAUCGUACAUAAAAAGGUAUAAAAGAAGAGGAAUCGUACAUAGAGAGGUAUAGAAGAAGAGGAAUCGUACAUAGACAGGUAUAAAAGAAGAGGAAUCGUACAUAGAAGAGGAAUCGUAAAUGGACAGGUAUAAAACAAGAGCAAUAGUACAUAGAAGAGCAAUCGUACAUAGACAGGUAUAAAAGAAGAGGAAUCGUACAUAGAAGAGGAAUCGUAAAUGGACAGGUAUAAAACAAGAGCAAUAGUACAUAGAAGAGCAAUCGUACAUAAAAAGGUAUAAAAGAAGAGGAAUCGUACAUAGAGAGGUAUAGAAGAAGAGGAAUCGUACAUAGACAGGUAUAAAAGAAGAGGAAUCGUACAUAGAAGAGGAAUCGUAAAUGGACAGGUAUAAAACAAGAGCAAUAGUACAUAGAAGAGCAAUCGUACAUAAAAAGGUAUAAAAGAAGAGGAAUCGUACAUAGAGAGGUAUAAAAGAAGAGGAAUCGUACA